rnacentral:tRNA from 1 species
GCCCAGUUAGCUCAGCUGGUAGAGCACUUCCAUGGUAAGGAAGGGGUCGUCGGUUCGAGUCCGACACUGGGCU